AGUGAACGCUGGCGGUAGGCCUAACACAUGCGAGUCGAACGGCAGCACAGUAAGAGCUUGCUCUUACGGGUGGCGAGUGGCGGACGGGUGAGGAAUACAUCGGAAUCUACUUUUUCGUGGGGGAUAACGUAGGGAAACUUACGCUAAUACCGCAUACGACCCACGGGUGAAAGCAGGGGAUCUUCGGACCUUGCGCGAUUGAAUGAGCCGAUGUCGGAUUAGCUAGUUGGCGGGGUAAAGGCCCACCAAGGCGACGAUCCGUAGCUGGUCUGAGAGGAUGAUCAGCCACACUGGAACUGAGACACGGUCCAGACUCCUACGGGAGGCAGCGGUGGGGAAUAUUGGACAAUGGGCGCAAGCCUGAUCCAGCCAUACCGCGUGGGUGAAGAAGGCCUUCGGGUUGUAAAGCCCUUUUGUUGGGAAAGAAAAGCAGCAGGUUAAUACCCCGCCGUUCUGACGGUACCCAAAGAAUAAGCACCGGCUAACUUCGUG
rnacentral:rRNA from 1 species